AUUGAACGAGAAAAGUAAAUAGAAAAAGUUGGAGAUGGCAAUAUUUAUAGGGGUGAACCCGGAAUCAUAGGUGUAUAGAGCUUAACACUAUUAUGAAAUCAUCGAUUUACCUAAAGAGGAAAAGGUGAAGGUGGUUGUGAUCAACUUCGUGUAAGAUGGAGUAAAUUAGUUCCGGUGUGGAGUAAUAAUUGGAAGAAGGUGGUUUCAUGGGAG
rnacentral:lncRNA from 1 species